rnacentral:lncRNA from 1 species
GAGCUGGGUGGGAGUAGGGCACGGUGUGCCUCCGCGCUUCGCCGCGGGGCAGCCGAACCCCGGAGGAAGGGGCGGAUCGGGCGCGGUGUUUGGGGCGAAGCUGGGCGCGCGGCGCUCGAAGCACUCACUCGGCGGGUUUCGUGGUUGGUGGAGACAGCAAGGGCACCCCGCAGACCGCACCCCUCGACCUAUAGGUUCGCAGGCCCGACUCGACGGCGUCCCCAUUGCUGGCCCAGCCUAUGGUCAUUGGGGGCCAUUUCUUGCAGAGAUGCCCAGCUCCCUGAAGCGCUCGCUCUUCUCCAGAGUUGGCCAAAGAUAUCAUCUCUUCUUUUGAUCACUGUUCCUGAUUGUGACAUUGUGCAAGUGUUAAAUUGUGUGCCUUUUGUUCCUGAAGAAAGAGGUCCUGGGAUCUUUGAAAUCCUAAGAUUCUUGGAUACUACAGUAUCAUAAAAUUCCUCUAAAUGGAUUGGUGCUAACAGUCCCCUACUCUGGCCUCUGGACCUAGCUUGAAGUUCUGGAUUAAUUUCCUUCUUCCUUGUACCUCAGCCUGAGCCUUCUGUCACCCAAAGGGUUCCAGCUUUUUUUCACUCAGGCCUCACUUUAUCUUCCAAGGUAUGUUUAGGGGUAGGAGUAGUCAAAAUUAUAUCUCUCACUUCUGUACUUGGGGCAUAAUGGGCAGAUCCUCAUUAAACAUUGAUUGGAUGAAUGUUCCUAGUGAACUCCCUCUUUAAAAAUGGUGGUUGGCAGUGGGUAGGCGUUUGUUUUUACUCCCCUCUCACCAGACCGUUUCCUAUCAGACACCUUGCUGUAUGUAUGUGGAAUGUUUUUCUAGUUCCUAGCCAUGUUGUAGUUUUUAAGUUAUGUUGUUUGAUUGUUUCAGUAGGCAGUUAGGAGGAGGAGGAAGUCAGAUGUUUUCAGUUGCCAUGUUCUUAUAGGAAACUACAGAUUAUUGUAAUACUUUUACAAAUUUGUAUUAUUUCAAGACUUAUUGAGAUGUUGGUCAAGUCUUAUGCUGUAAUAAUACAUAUAUAGAAGGCAGUAGUUUAAAUAGCACAUUUAAAACCAGUAAUCUGGGCUGGAUGUCGUGGCACACACCUAUAAUCUCAGCACUUUGGGAAGCCAAGGCGAGUGGAUCACUUGAGCUCAGAAGUUCAAGACCAGCCUGGGCAACAUGGCAAAACCUCAUCUAUGCAGAAAAAUACAAAAAUUAGCGUACUGUGAUGGUGUAUACCUAUAGUCCCUGUUACCUGGGAGGCUGAGGUGGGAGGAUUACUUGAGACUGGGAGGUUGAGGCUGCAGUGAGCUGAGAUCACACCACUGCACUUCAGUCUGGGCGACAGCGAGACACUGUCUCAAAAUAAAUAAAUAAAUAAAUAAAACCA